rnacentral:tRNA from 1 species
GGCAAGGUGGCCGAGUGGUUAAGGCGCUGUGUUUAGGCCGCAGUGGGAAACCUCGCGAGUUCGAAUCUCGUCCUUGUCA